AAAGAAUAAACUUUCAUUAAACUUUGUUUUCUUUCUGUUAGACAAACAUUGUAUUCAGAGAGUUACAAUACUAACACAUUCAUGACUGUGGGAGUAGGCAUGAAGGAUUAAAAUAUCCUUCAGAAAGGUAUUUUUAAAUCAGAAGGUGGGUGAUGAGCAGGAAGUAGGAAGAAGUAAUAAUAGAGAUAGUAUUUACUUUAAAAUACAUAAUUAUAUCAUUAGAAUGGCUUGACUUCUAUUUCAACUACACCUUAGUUGAAAAAAGAUGGCAAUGAAGUUGGAGGACAAAUGCUGAAAAAAGGCCAAUGUAAAGCUAGACCAUGUGCACCAAUGUUAAGUGAAGACUAUUUUAGUAACAAAAAGGUGGAAAUAAAGCCCAGGCUACCUGGGGGAUUGUCAAGGUGGAAUGGAUUUUCAAAUGAGAGAGUAACUAAAGCAUUAGAUAUGGUGAUCGGUUCAUUGUGUUUGACCAUUAUGUAUUGAGUUGCCCACCACACGUCAGCUUAGCCUGAGCACUGGGUUAUCUAUCAGUGAAGGUUUGUAAGGACAGUUAGAGGUAGAACUGUCAAGGUUCUAUUUCCGGGGCCAGACUGCGUACUCUACACUGAAGCCGCAUCCACCCUGGACCUCAAAAACAGUCCACUAGGCCAAGUUUAUUAAUCCAGUGAAUCACAGUGUUUAUAUAGACUUUGACCUUCUGGUACUAGAAAUUACAUUCCAGGACUUCAUUCAACUGUUUUUCUACCACAGAAUUAAAGAAACAUUAUUUGAGUAGCUGGUCUCUGACCUUUAAAUCUAUGACUAUAACUUAUAUUAUUGAAAUUGAGUUUACAAAACCGAAAAUAGAUAAUAAUUUUUCUUAUUCUUGUGGCUUGAAUUAUAAAAUAAUGAUAGAUUUAGGUAACAAUAAAUUAUUUAUAUAUUGAUCUUUACUUCUUUAAACACUUUUAAAAAAUAUUCUUUGUGAUAAAUAAUGAUCAUUCACAUUUCUAUAUUAACUUCUAAACAAAGCAAUUCAGUUGAACAUUUUGAAUUUACAAAUGUUUCAUAUAAUCUGUCAAAAUCCAUCUGAAGGAAAAUCUGAGAUAAUCUGUUAGAUCAUUCACAGAUGUUCUUAGAUUGUUAAAUGUGUAAUAAGCUAGGAAAAUUUAGAAGUAUAUUGUAAUCACAUUAGAAUAUGUCAGUUAUGUGUGAGCAAAGGGCUUAGUUGCUGAACUGUUUUUACAACUUAUACUUUUGGUUAAACUAAACAUAAUUAAAUGAAUUUAUUUCAACAGUUGCUUACAUUUUUCUAAAUAACCUAGAUGUUAGAUUGAAAAUGUUUCAUCACAUAGUAGAAACAAGUACAUUUUGUUUCAGGAAAGAGCUGCAUCUUGUGGGCAAAUCUGUUUUUUUAAUCAUGUGAGCAGUCUUCAUAGUCUGCCACUUUAUGGCCAUAAUACAUACUCAGUUAGCAUCCUGAAAAUUUUGAACUUUUUCUGGUAAGAGACUGUGCAGAUAAAAGAUCAUGAAGCUAGGACAUUAAAAUGUGUUUAGGGCAGCAAGACAGUUUUAUUCGAAGAGAAAACAUUCAUUUUGCUCAUUUGGAGAUCAUUGGUUAAGAGGGGGAAGCAAGAGUCAGAAAAUUGGGCAUAUUUAUAGGAUAAAGAAGUAUUUGAAUAUUAAAAAUUUAAAUAGAUUUUUGUAGACAUCAAGAUUUUUUGAAAAGUAGGCAAAGGGCACUAAAACAUAAGGGGAAAUUUUUUGAGCUAGUUUGUAACAGCUUGUAAUUCAACUAUAUUUUUAACAAAUUGUCUACCUGAGAAAUGUGGAAAUUAAGUGAUGUUAAUAACAAGCCUCUACCUAUGGUAAAUUAUUAUUAAACUAGAGGUCCGGUGCACAAAAUUCGUGCACUGAGGGGGGGUUCCCUCAGCCCAGCCUGCAUCCUCUCCAAUUGGGGACCCCUUGGGAGAUGUCUGACUGCAAUCCGGGACCACUGGCUCCUAACUGCUCACCUGCCUGCCUGCCUGAUUGCCCCUAACUGCCUCUGCCUGCCUGCCUGAUCGCUCCUAACUGCUCUCCCCUGCUGGCCUGGUUGCUCCCAACUGCCCUCCCCUGCCGGCCUGAUAUCGCCCCCAACUGCCCUCCCCUGCAGGCCUGAUCUCACCCCCAACUGCCCUCCUCUGCUGGCCAAUUUGGUUCUGAUUGGUUGGUUUCAAUGCCAGCAUCAAAAGCUCUGCCUGCUACGCAGCCAUUGGCUCCCCACAGCACCCACAUUUGGUUCUGAUUGGUCAGUUCCUAUGCCAGUCAGUGUCUCUGGGCCUAUCAACGGGGCCUGAUCAGAAAGGCAGGACUGAUCAGAAGCCCUGGUGGACGCCUGGAAAGAAAUAGAGGAGUGGCUGCUGGUCAGACUGGGAGAGAAAGAGAGAGGUAAGUGCUGAUCAAAAGCUGCCACAGAGGCAACAGAUCAGUCCCUGCUUCUCUCUUCAGGCCUCUCUCUGGCCCUGAUUCGCAGCCCCCUUAGCAGUCAGUGCUGGGGCACCGCACCUGCAGCGGAAGCAAUCAGUGCUGUGUCUGCAGGAUUGACUUCCAGUAGGUCAAUCCUCGGUCGUUACUGAUCGUUACGACCCAGGGUUUUUAUAUAUUAGGAUAUUAUUGACUGUUUUAAAAAAGUGUAGAUCUCAUGCAUAGAGCUGCUUCUAAAAUAAUUACACUCUAGUAUGUCAGAGAUUUAACUAUAAGACAGUUGAUUAAGUAAGUUGUAUUAUUUAACCAAUAAGCAUAGCUAAUAUUAUUUACUUUGAAAAUCGAUAUUUAAUACAUUAGUAUUUUGUGUGGUAGUUUAAUAGUAGUUCAUAGUGGUUGGUACCACAGACUCUGGAGCCAGAUUCUCUGAGCUUAAGCUCAAAUUUGCCCUUCCUAGCUAUAUGACCUUGAGCAGCCUACCUAACUUCACUCUGACUCAGAUUCUUUCUGUCUAAGAGAGAGCAUGCUGCCUGCCCCAAGGGAUUGUUUGAGAAGUGAAAGCAUUCAUUCAUGUAAAGUAUGUAUCUGGAACAGUUCCUGGAAGGAAACGUUAGCUGUGGCAGUGGGUGAUGAUGAACAGUGACAAAAAUCACUUUGAAAGAGUAAAAAUCAUGUCCUAUUAAUAGAAAAAGGAGUUGGGUCUGUUUAUUUUGAAUAAUUUAAAAUUAAAGAAAGCAUAAACUUAUAUUUUCAAUUAUUUGAAGGAUGUUACAUAUAAUGAACAAAGGAGGCUUGUUUUUUGUUAUUGCAGAAGGCCAAACCAGAACCAUUUUGAAGAAGCUAUAUAGGGACAAAUUUGGGUCAAUAAAAGCAAAAUGACUCAGGCAGUUCCCUAAAGAGUAUUGUGCUUGCCCGUGUUACAAUGACUUUUGAUGGUACACAAAUAUGCAUUAAAAUAAAUGCAUUACAAAUUAAGGUCAUUCUUUAGAAAUUACAGAACUGGCAGAAACCUGUGAUAUUCCAGUAGUACUAGGCUUGUGUCCAUUUAAUAAAAAAUAAUAUAUAAAUAGUAUAGUUGUUAUGCAGAUAAGGUGAAUAUUAUAAAGAUUUUAUGAUCCUAUCUUCCUAGUUAAUUAGUGUUAUGGUUAAACUUUUAAAUAUUCCUUUAAUUAAGGGACAAAUAAGGUAUGGGAUAAAGGUCGGGAAGUUGGUAAAACUAUGAUCAGCCUCUGUUAACACAGAUAGAGUAAAAGAGGUAUAAUCCCACACCCAUAUGUCUCAUGAGUUGUAUCAAUUUUUUUUAAUUGUAACAACAGAAAAUACCAACGAAAUAUAACUGCAAGCAGCUCCUACUUCUGAACAGGCCAUAUUCCUCAAAUCAAGUGGAAAUCAAGUGGAAUUGACUGGUGGAGACUCUGCCACUAUUGAGUAAUCCAAAUGCUGUAGGAGUCCAACUGGAACAUCCAGAGGCUUUUUAGGAAAGCCUCUGUGUAUAGGAGUUGGUAGAUUGCUUAAAAACCAAAGGUUAAAUACACUUUGGUGUCAGAAACAGCUUGAAUGUUUAUAUUUAUAUAGGUGUAUAAAUCUUACACUUCUUAUUAUCAAUAUAAAAAAAAUACAAAACAGAAAUACUCUUUUUCAUAGUAGUACAGAACAUUCAAGCAUUGGUUUCUGUUUGAAUUAUGUUUUCCCCUUAACCCCUGCAUCAAGGAAGUAGUAUUUUUAUUAAUGCAAAGGUUUUUCGAAACGAGAACAGAUAGAGUAGAAGUAUGGGAGGAUGGGAUUGCAGCAUAGUUUGAAAUUUAAAUAUGCAGUUAUUAGCCACUUAGAACCAUGUUUGUAAUCAAGAGCUUGAUGUGCUUUUGGGAGGAAAGAAGUUAUGUUUCUUUUAAGAAAAUUAACUCAGAAACAAAAUUCUAUUUCUGAAGGCAGAAACUCUAAAUGGACUAUAUUAAGUCACAAACAUAGGCAACUUAAGCAUGCAAUCAGUUCUUUUUUUAUGCUGAUGAAAGUGAAUGUAGACAACAGACUUAUUUUGGAUCUUGAAUAGGAUUAUGGUAAGAGUUGAGGGGGUGGUACAUUUUUCUCCUGGGUUAUGGCUCAAGAUUUUAGAGUUAAGAAAUAAGAAUUUUUUUUUUUUUUAAGUUUCACACAGAGGUAACUUUAACCUUUAAGUAUUUCCAGCUGAUUUGAUAUGUUUAUCUGUCACUUCCUCCUGCUGUAGUAACUCAAGUACCACAACUGAGCUAAGAGCCAAUACAUAUGGGCAAAAGAUCCUAAAGAGAAUGCUAGAAUUAUUUGUAGUUUUUGUUUUUUU